GCUUCCGCGCUCUUUGAAAUGUCCGGCGCCGGAAUGUCUGGGUGCUUUGGUUGGAGAGGGUCCCAUUUCCAGUCAUUCUUCAGCCUGGUGAUUCCCGCGCUCCCCUGAGGAGCAUAUGAAGUACGUCGGUUCUGCCAGGUUGGAACGCGCUGCUGGACACUCGGCCGUAAGGCGGAUCCCGGAUCCCCUCCCACUCCGACCCUUCCCUCCAGAAGGGCCGGUUCCCAAACGGCCCCUUUAGACACAUCCAAGCGGUUGCCGACGGCCCUCACGAUGAAAACUGCUGUCCGUUGGUGAAGGCAGCCUCUUCUGUGCUCCUCGCCGCUGACUUCCUGAGGCGGACCUACCUGUGGAGGCAUACCAGGAACCAGACGAUGACCCCCUCCAAAAGUUGGGUCUUUGAGGAGAGCUACUAACUUGGGUUCCUGGUACACCCUCUACAUGCAGUGGUGAAGCUUAUCUAACAGUCAUUCAUAGAAUCAGUUUGGGAAGGGGAAUUUUCACUGAACUCUCAUAGAGAAACUGUGUUUUAGAUAACAGAAAGUUCUGCACGGUUAAAAUGGAACAGAAAUUUUUUUGCACAGAAAUUAGGAUUACCGAAAAUACUGAAGAAAGACUACCUCUGAUUGGACUCUUCUCAAGGAAUUAAUAAUUCAAGAACUAAGGAAAGAAAAAAGUGAUUAUAUGAAAAUACUGAAGUUGAUCGUAGCAGCUGAAGGCUGAUCCUGUGUGGGUAAAUGUAAACGCUGAAUUCCCACAUUCCAAUGUGCGACCUGGGAUUAAGGCAGCAAUUGAGCAGGGCUGAAGUACAUUGGUGCAAUCUUGGCUCACUGCAUCUCCACCCCAGGUUCAAGCGAUUCUCCUGCCUCAGCCUCCCAAGCAGCUGGGAUUACAGAAUGUCACAUAAAUGGAAUCAUACUGUGUCCGGAAUUGGUGGGUUCUUGGUCUCACUGACUUCAAGAAUGACGCCAUGGGCCCUCGCGGUGAGUGUUACAGCUCUUAAGGUGGCGCGUCUGGAGUUUGUUCCUUCUGAUGUUCGGAUGUGUUCGGAGUUUCUUCCUUCUGGUGGGUUCGUGGUCUCGCUGGCUCAGGAGUGAAGCUGCAGACUUUCGCGGGCUGGCCGACUGCUCCGAGUGCGGGGCCGCCAAGCCCACGCCCACCCGGAACUCCAGCUGGCCCGCAAGCGCCUCACGCAGCCCCGGUUCCCGCUCGCGCCUCUCCCUCCACACCUCCCUGCAAGCUGAGGGAGUGGGCUCCAGCCUUGGCCAGCCCAGAAAGGGGCUCCCACAGUGCAGUGGUGGGCUGAAGGGCUCCUCAAGUGCCGCCAAACUGGGAGCCCAGGCAGAGGAGGUGCCGAGAGCAAGCGAGGGCUCUGAGGACUGCCAGCACGCUGUCACCUCUCAAUACAAUUUCAUCUCUCUCUCUGCUAUGGACACAGAUGGCUUCACUCCAUCCUGUAUUCUUCGGACCAUGAUAAAAUUCCAGACUCUCGGUAGUUUUUGCGUUCCAAGAAGUAGAGCCUAGAGUGGUGGCCUAUAAUUACAGUUACUCAGGAGGCUGAGGCAGGAGGAUCCUUUGAGUCCAGCAGUUUGAGGCCAGCCUGGACACCACAGCAAGACCACCAAUAAAUAAAUAAAUAAAUGGAACAU
rnacentral:lncRNA from 1 species